GGGGAAUAUUGCACAAUGGGCGAAAGCCUGAUGCAGCAACGCCGCGUGAGUGAUGAAGGCCUUCGGGUUGUAAAGCUCUGUCUUCUGGGACGAUAAUGACGGUACCAGAGGAGGAAGCCACGGCUAACUACGUGCCAGCAGCCGCGGUAAUACGUAGGUGGCAAGCGUUGUCCGGAUUUACUGGGCGUAAAGGAUGCGUAGGCGGAUACUUAAGUCAGAUGUGAAAAUCCCGGGCUUAACUUGGGAACUGCAUUUGAAACUGGGUAUCUAGAGUGCGGGAGAGGAAAGUUGAAUUCCUAGUGUAGCGGUGAAAUGCGUAGAGAUUAGGAAGAACACCAGUGGCGAAGGCGACUUUCUGGACCGUAACUGACGCUGAGG
rnacentral:rRNA from 1 species